rnacentral:rRNA from 1 species
CACGUAGGGCGCAAGCGUUGUCCGGAAUUAUUGGGCGUAAAGAGCUCGUAGGCGGUCUGUUGCGUCUGCUGUGAAAACCCGGGGCUUAACCCCUGGCUUGCAGUGGAUACGGACAGACUAGAGGUAGGUAGGGGAGAAUGGAAUUCCCGGUGUAGCGGUGAAAUGCGCAGAUAUCAGGAGGAACACCGAUGGCGAAGGCAGGUCUCUGGGCAUUAACUGACGCUGAGGAGCGAAAGCAUGGGGAGCGAACAGG